AACCAUCUGGUGACUGUCUCCGGAUGACCAUGGCCCUACCAUCCCUGGGCCAAGACCCCUGGAGUCUCCUGAGUGUUUUUUUCUUCCAACUGUUCCUGCUGCUGUCACUGCCACCAGCUUCCGGGACUGGUGGGCAGGGACCCGUGCCCAGAGUCAAGUACCAUGCGGGUAAGUGUCUGCUACCUGGGAGGCAUGGAUGCGUGGUAGAGAUGAAGGGACUGAGGAAGGAGAAGAGUGUGCCAGAGAGAAUGAAACAGGAUGGAGAAACAGAUGUCAGGUAGCCUCGGAGGGCCUGGGAGAAGAGGAGGCUACUCGAGGCACAAGUUGGUGUGGAAGGGAAGGAAGGGUCACUGUCACUCUCCCGUCUCUGCCAAGUUUUUCUCCCUCAAGUGUCACAGUAACCAAGCAGGGAACCUUAAAUUCCUGACUACUUGCUCAGCACCAGGGGCCCUAAAGCCAAAGUUCAGGCUAGAUUGUCUGAGGAGCUGGAAGCCCGAGCCAAUGGC
rnacentral:lncRNA from 1 species